UACGUAGGGUGCAAGCGUUGUCCGGAAUUAUUGGGCGUAAAGAGCUCGUAGGCGGUUUGUCGCGUCUGCUGUGAAAACCCGAGGCUCAACCUCGGGCCUGCAGUGGGUACGGGCAGACUAGAGUGCGGUAGGGGAGAUUGGAAUUCCUGGUGUAGCGGUGGAAUGCGCAGAUAUCAGGAGGAACACCAAUGGCGAAGGCAGAUCUCUGGGCCGUAACUGACGCUGAGGAGCGAAAGCAUGGGGAGCGAACGGG
rnacentral:rRNA from 1 species